CUUACACUGAAACCACUUUCAAGAAAGCAGCCAUUUAGAACUUGUGUGAAAUCAAGGGGGAUCCCACCAGUCCCUUUCUAUGGGGGAGAACUUGGAGUGGUUCUGCUGUCAGUUUACACAGUGAGAUCUUACACCAUAUGUAACUCUCAAGGCUGGAGAGAUGAUAUGCCGCCAACAUGGUUGGGAAACAUGGAGAAGCAGAAAGCUCGUAGCUGGACUACCCUACAAGGAGAAGUGGCUUCUGUGAAAUUGUAAAAUGCUGCACACUGCUGCUCUUCCUCCCUGGUUAUUCUCCUUCUGAACCCUCAUAUAUUAUUUUAAAAAUUUUAAACAAAUAAACAAGCAAAACACAAGGAUGCAUAAGUCAGCCUUUCUUCCAGCUCUCUGGCUUGGUGGAGGGAUGGAAGUAGGGUGGAAACGGAAAAACACAUUGUCGGGCCAAAUAGUAUUUUACCUCCAAACAUGGGCCACC
rnacentral:lncRNA from 1 species